GAUCCUGGCUCAGGAUGAACGCUAGCUACAGGCUUAACACAUGCAAGUCGAGGGGCAGCAUAUUUCUAGCAAUAGAGAUGAUGGCGACCGGCGCACGGGUGAGUAACACGUAUCCAACCUGGCCUUAUACUCGGGGAUAGCCUUUCGAAAGAAAGAUUAAUACCCGAUGUUAUAGUCUAACCGCAUGAUUUGACUAUAAAAGAUUUUCGGUAUAAGAUGGGGAUGCGUUCCAUUAGA
rnacentral:rRNA from 1 species